AAUUAAUGAGCUUGUUUAAAGCAUUUGUUUUGAAAACUUAAGAAAGAAUUAUUAUUCUAUUAGUUUAUACUAAAAUUAAUUA
rnacentral:tRNA from 1 species